rnacentral:rRNA from 2 species
UACGAAGGGGGCUAGCGUUGCUCGGAAUGACUGGGCGUAAAGGGCGUGUAGGCGGUUUGUACAGUCAGAUGUGAAAUCCCCGGGCUUAACCUGGGAGCUGCAUUUGAUACGUGCAGACUAGAGUGUGAGAGAGGGUUGUGGAAUUCCCAGUGUAGAGGUGAAAUUCGUAGAUAUUGGGAAGAACACCGGUGGCGAAGGCGGCAACCUGGCUCAUUACUGACGCUGAGGCGCGAAAGCGUGGGGAGCAAACAGG